UUAUCUCAACUCACCGGCUUCACUUUCCCGUUUCUCUCCCCCAUCCCAGAGAGGGAGGGGGGAGGGUGAGCGAACGGCUGUGUGGUGUUUAGCUGCCAGCCGGGUUAAACCACAACAUUGUGCCUUUUCUAUAGCAGAAGGAUCUCUUCCUAGUUUAGAAAUGUUCAAAACUUGUGCAUAAAACACAAUCUCUCUACAUAGUAAUUGCAUUCCUUUCUUCAGAUAACAUGAAUGUUACUAUGCUGUUCAAUAACUAAAGUAAUAUGCAACAGCAUUUCUUUAUUACCUUUUGUCUUGAGCUAGUAAUGCACUGACUUUGGUUUCACUUGAUCACAUCCACAGACAACCUUUGGAAAUUUUUGAGUCAGGAAACAGAGAAGCUGGUGCAGUAUUUUGGUCUCUUCCCAUAUAUGAGGUCUUCAGUGGAACAAAGCUGAGAUGUCCAGUCUAUCUAGACGGACGGUGGAGACAGAGCUCAGUGGAGAACAAGAUCAAGACAAACAAACAUAAUGUCCAUCUUAAGACAAGUGGAUUAGCAGGUUCCUUAUUUAUUUUUUUUCUGUUAUUUUCUAUUAUAUCCAUUUCAUUAUUAAAGAACAUACAGAAAUCAAAUCUGCCCCAGUCCUUCAUGCAGGGAAAAAAAUUCUAAUAAUGCCAGUGUAUGACUAUUAACAAGAUACUCACAGAAAAGUCCAUCUCACUCUACUUCUUGAUGGUUGAUAACAAUGAAAUGCAACUUCUUAUGAUUAACUGCUUUAAAGAUUAAGGGCCAUAUAUCUGCAAAAAUACUUGUGUUGCUAGCCAUACAGACGUCUCUGAAGAAUAAAAAAUAUCUGGGAUGGAACUAAUUUUCUUCA
rnacentral:lncRNA from 1 species